rnacentral:rRNA from 1 species
GAGUUUGAUCCUGGCUCAGAUUGAACGCUGGCGGCAUGCCUUACACAUGCAAGUCGAACGGCAGCAUGAUCUAGCUUGCUAGAUUGAUGGCGAGUGGCGAACGGGUGAGUAAUACAUCGGAACGUGCCCUGUAGUGGGGGAUAACUAGUCGAAAGAUUAGCUAAUACCGCAUACGACCUGAGGGUGAAAGUGGGGGACCGCAAGGCCUCAUGCUAUAGGAGCGGCCGAUGUCUGAUUAGCUAGUUGGUGGGGUAAAGGCCCACCAAGGCGACGAUCAGUAGCUGGUCUGAGAGGACGAUCAGCCACACUGGGACUGAGACACGGCCCAGACUCCUACGGGAGGCAGCAGUGGGGAAUUUUGAACAAUGGGCGAAAGCCUGAUCCAGCAAUGCCGCGUGUGUGAAGAAGGCCUUCGGGUUGUAAAGCACUUUUGUCCGGAAAGAAAUGGCUCUGGUUAAUACCUGGGGUCGAUGACGGUACCGGAAGAAUAAGGACCGGCUAACUACGUGCCAGCAGCCGCGGUAAUACGUAGGGUCCAAGCGUUAAUCGGAAUUACUGGGCGUAAAGCGUGCGCAGGCGGUUGUGCAAGACCGAUGUGAAAUCCCCGAGCUUAACUUGGGAAUUGCAUUGGUGACUGCACGGCUAGAGUGUGUCAGAGGGGGGUAGAAUUCCACGUGUAGCAGUGAAGUGCGUAGAGAUGUGGAGGAAUACCGAUGGCGAAGGCAGCCCCCUGGGAUAACACUGACGCUCAUGCACGAAAGCGUGGGGAGCAAACAGGAUUAGAUACCCUGGUAGUCCACGCCCUAAACGAUGUCAACUA